UGGUGCUUGCACCUGAUUGAUUUUGGUCACCAACGAGUGGCAGACGGGUGAGUAACGCGUAAGUAACCUGCCCAGAAUCGGGGGACAACAUUUGGAAACAGAUGCUAAUACCGCAGAACAACGUUGUUCGCAUGAACAACGCUUAAAAGAUGGCUUCUCGCUAUCACUUCUGGAUGGACCUGCGGUGCAUUAACUUGUUGGUGGGGUAAUGGCCUACCAAGGCGAUGAUGCAUAGCCGAGUUGAGAGACUGAUCCGCCACAAUGGGACUGAGACACGGCCCAUACUCCUACGGGAGGCAGCAGUAGGGAAUCUUCCACAAUGGGCGCAAGCCUGAUGGAGCAACACCGCGUGAGUGAAGAAGGGUUUCGGCUCGUAAAGCUCUGUUGUUAAAGAAGAACACGUAUGAGAGUAACUGUUCAUACGUUGACGGUAUUUAACCAGAAAGUCACGGCUAACUACGUGCCAGCAGCCGCGGUAAUACGUAGGUGGCAAGCGUUAUCCGGAUUUAUUGGGCGUAAAGAGAGUGCAGGCGGUUUUCUAAGUCUGAUGUGAAAGCCUUCGGCUUAACCGGAGAAGUGCAUCGGAAACUGGAUAACUUGAGUGC
rnacentral:rRNA from 2 species